rnacentral:rRNA from 1 species
GAUGAACGCUGGCGGCGUGCCUAAUACAUGCAAGUCGAGCGAACAGACGAGGAGCUUGCUCCUCUGACGUUAGCGGCGGACGGGUGAGUAACACGUGGAUAACCUACCUAUAAGACUGGGAUAACUUCGGGAAACCGGAGCUAAUACCGGAUAAUAUAUUGAACCGCAUGGUUCAAUAGUGAAAGACGGUUUUGCUGUCACUUAUAGAUGGAUCCGCGCCGCAUUAGCUAGUUGGUAAGGUAACGGCUUACCAAGGCAACGAUGCGUAGCCGACGUGAGAGGGUGAUCGCCCACACUGGAACUUAGACACGGUCCAGACUCCUACGGGAGGCACCAGUAGGGAACCGUCCGCAAUGGGCGAAAGCAUGACGGAGCAACGCCGCGUGAGUUAUGAAGGUCUCCGGAUCGUAAAACUCUGUUAUGAGUGAAGAACAAAUGUGUAAGUAACUAUGCACGUCUUGACGGUACCUAAUCAGAAAGCCACGGCUAACUACGUG